CUUCAAGAAAACGAAAUCCCUAGCCGCGAAGCAGACUUCUCAGAAGGCAAACCAAGCGUCGGUUGUCGUUGUUGCUGAUUUUGGCGGGUGACAGUUGAGAGAGAGCGCGAGAAAUCAAUGGGUAUAGGGGAAGCAGAGGAGGAAGGGCCUAUUUUCAGGGAUAUAAGACAAUAUUAUUGUGAGUACUGUGGCAUCUGCAGGUCCAAAAAGACCCUGAUUGCUUCUCACAUGCUCACUCACCACAAGGAAGAGAUGGAAAUGGCCAAAGAGGCUGAUGGGAAAGGAGAGAGGGAAAAAUCCAAUACUUGCCAAGAAUGUGGUGCUACUUUUAAAAAACCUGCAUAUCUCAAGCAACACAUGCAAAGCCAUUCCCUUGAGGAUUCAACAUUUUUAAGAACUAUCCUUUGGAUAGCGUGAAGCAUUGGAUCCCACACAAAGAACUCCAAAAUGCGAGAGGUUUCUGACUUGACUGGACCAGUAUCAGGUGGGAGACCUCCUGUGAAGCUCCAACAAGCGAACCUCAAUCACGUACUGCUUGGUUUGAGGAAUCGGCAUUUUAAAGAAGUAUCUGUUGGACAACGUGGAGCAUUGGAUCCCACACAAAGAACUCCAAAAUGUGCGAGGGUUUGACUUGAAUGGACCAGUACCAGGUGGGAGACCUCCUGGGAAGCUCCAUCAAGCAAGCCUCAAUCACAGGCCAUAUGUUUGUUCGGUGGAUGAUUGUCGUUCCAGCUUCAGAAGAAAGGACCACUUAAAUCGUCAUCUUCUUCAGCACCAAGGGAAACUCUUUAAGUGUCCGAUUGAGAACUGUAAUCGUGGGUUUGGUUCCCAAGGUAACAUGAGGAGGCAUGUGAAAGAACUCCACAAUGAGGAUGAUCCUUCGGCAAAUGUUGGAGGUCAGAAGCAGCAUGCAUGCCAGGAUUGUGGAAAGGUGUUCAAAUUUGCUUCAAAGCUGCAGAAGCAUGAGAAUUCUCAUGUUAAGCUGGAUUCAGUGGAGGCAUUCUGCUCUGAACCUGGCUGUAUGAAAUAUUUUUCUAAUCAGAAAUGCCUUAAGGCCCAUAUUCAGUCCUGCCACCAACAUAUCACCUGUGAGAUAUGUGGGACCAAGAAGCUGAAAAGGAACAUCGAACGGCAUCUCUGCAUGCAUGAAGGGGGAGGUGCUUCAGUGGAGAGAAUUAAAUGCAGUUAUAAGGGUUGUCUUCACACGUUUUCAACUAAAUCAAAUCUCCAUCAACAUGUCAAGGCAGUACACCUUGAAUAUAAACCGUUUGUCUGUAGCUUUUCGGGUUGUGGCAUGAGAUUCGCAUAUAAGCAUGUGAGAGAUAAGCAUGAGAAGACUGGACGUCAUGUCUAUGCAUAUGGGGAUUUUGAAGAGGCUGAUGAGCAAUUCCGGUCAAGGCCAAGGGGCGGCCGUAAGAGGAAGUACCCCACUAUAGAAAUGCUCGUACGAAAAAGGGUGACUCCACCAGACCAAUUGGGCCAGGAGUCUGAGUACUGCUCCUGGUUGCUCUCACAAGAAGCCGAAGACGAGAAUUGAGCCAUGCCCUUGAAGUAAGUGAUUGGACACUACAUAUGCUUCCACUACCUACGCUAACCUACGUAGAAGUUUGGGUGUCAUGAAUCUGAACAUUAGAUAUGGAAAUUGAGUGAUGCUGUGAAUCUAAACAAUAAAUAUGUAUAGCAUUUCUGUAUUUUUUGAAGAUAAGCAUUUUUCUGUUUAGUUGAAUGGUUUUUAUUAAUCCAAUAGUUGAACCACGACCUCUAUCUGAACUCCGAAGAACAAAUUUGUGCGCUACUUGCCAAACCACCCAUAACUUUGA